rnacentral:lncRNA from 1 species
AUGACUACCUUAUCAGGACACUCAUAUGCCUCAGCACUUGCACAUUUAGUAUUAACAGGAUCCUCUUGUUGGGCCCUCAGUAAAAUAAACAGUGGUGUUCAUGGCAAGUAUGCACUAGGUGCAUACUGCCUGCAUCUAGCUCAUGGUGUCAUAGGAUUGUUCCGAUAUGCUAUCCCUCAGCAUAAAAGCAACUACAGGUUUCUGCAAAUGAUACGGGCAGUAUACCUCCGAAUCAGGCUCGUCAACUCAAAUUUGGCUCUACCCCUAAUGACAGUUCAAGUAGCAUUACUGUUGAAGCCAGCAUGGCAGUCUUUCAUACUGUUCCUGCUUGCCAUACCUAGUCUUCACGUUUUGAGAUACUGGGUUCAUAAACCAUACUCUGUACCUGAGUUGGAAAUCUUUUCGCAAACCCUUUGUUUGGGAGCUCUUGGCUACUUGAGCUAUUCAGAGGGCAAUGACUACGGAUAUGCGCUCUUAUUCAGCUGUUUUGCUGCAGUGCUUAUCCACCGAAUGACUGAUGAGUUUUCUCGCAGAGACUUAUUUGUUUAUGCUCUGUCAUUUUUUGUUUUUUUCUCGUACAAAACUUUACACUCUAGUUUACCAUUUUACUACAGAUAUUUUUACUAAAAAUCAUUGUUAAAAGCCACUGAAAGCUCCCGAUUGUGAAGCUUCUGAGUUGUUGUGUGUCAAACUGCCAAGUAUUUUGAACCUGCUUGAUAUUUAUCCGCAAAGAAUCCAAUGAAUCAAGUUGUGACAACAGGUGUUUUUGGUAAUGGCCUUAUGUCUUAAUUUUUUUUUUUGAAAGAAAUAAAUUAAAUAUUAUUUUUUUCAGUAAAAAUUACCGUUCAAAUGAUUUUACACAUUGAGAAAUUUUCAUUGAAAGUUUGGCUUCUAUCAAAACAAAUUUUUAUCGAUUUUGCUUCAUGUGAAAAAAAAUAGUGAUCGAGGAGGAAAAUUUUUUGAUAUCAAAAAUCCCAAAAGUCUUGUCUUUGACCCUCAUAUAAGCGAACAAAUGAAGGUAGCAAAUUACAGGUUGUACAAGAUUGAAAAUCAUUUGCUAACUUUUCAAGACGUCCACCUUGAGCUCAUGAAAUCAAAUAUUCACUGAGCGCCAGUAAUUUUUAAACAAUUUGUUCAAGUACUUCUCGGGACACCUUUACGUACACCUUUUUUAAGAGAGGAAAUUCAAAGGCCAUCAGCAUUAAGUUCUACCAAAGUGAAAUGUCAAUGGGCCAGUGUCAUGGUGUACACAAAAAAUUUUGAAAAUUCCUCAGGGGUUACCCACGCAAAUUUGUUGCCUAAAAAUCACUACACUGAAUUCAGCAAAUUUUUGAUUGAAUAAGCACAACAAAGUUAUGUCAGGCAGCUAUUGAAGCACUCUUUAAACUUGUACAGCGCACAUAAUCUUUCUUAAAUUUAUUUUUUCACUCAUUUGAGGGUCUGGUCACAAUAAUUUCAAUAUUUUCAGUAUUUUCUUCGGCAAAAACAGGUACGAAUGUUCCCAAUUGCUUGAAGAAAUGACACAUAAUUUUGUCUUUCAUUGUAGAAAUAUGUUUGAAUUAAUUUCACUCUGCAUUCGAUUUUCAUUGUGCCCUGUGCCCGGUGAAAAGCAGAAAUCACCAUGUGUGGUAUAAAAUUUUGCAGACCACAUGGCUUUGGCAAGCAUGAUAUUGAAUCAUCUUCCUUUUUUUUAAGAUAGUGUAUUGAAAUCUGUCUUUUUGAUGCUUGACUUUAUUUGACAUGUUUCGGUAAUGCCUGCAUUAAAUUUUGCUCUUGAUGAGAGAAAGAGGAAGAGAUUUCUUGCCAUUCGCCAUUGUCUUAGUGCACUGAUUGUUUUUGACUGCAUUUUUUUCAGAAUUAAAGUUAGGAAUAUUAAAAUUUCUUUUUAUGUGGUGUUUUUACAUUAUUACAAAGUUCAUUGAUGAGUAAUUGUGUACCCACUAUUGAGUUACUUAGGUACCAAAGUGUAACUGUUAAUUUUAUGAAGACCCUCAGAUCUGUGUUGAUGGUUUUUAAACUGCCGUGAGAAUAUUUAUAAAAUUUGUUAGUAAAAACUCACCUGAAGGUAAAACAAUUGACUAUUUAUUGAAGCUGCAAGUAAAAAUGAUGAGCUGACCAAUCUAUAAUCACAUCAUUUUACUUAAAUGUGAAGAAAGUACCUACCUUUUAAAACAUUUAUUAAUUUAAUCAUAAGGUAUUUUCUGAUUUAUUUUUCUAUGCACUGUCAUGUUUAUUAACUUAUUUUUAAUAUUGUCAAAAGUAAUUAAUGGCUUUUUUAUCCGUCUAUUUUUCUUUUUUCGUUUUUGGAUUUUUUUGAGAUUGUUACAAAUAUACUGAAAUUUAGUGCUUUCAUCAAUUGUUUAAAAUUUUUAGAAAAAAUUUCUUUCCAACCACUUCUAUCUAGAUUAUUCUAUUUUUGCGAGUGAACCAAGAAAAUACGGAAUAAAUUUGCGGGCACAAUAAUGAUGGUAUUUGGCACAUAAAUUUUCUGUCCUGGAUGUUUCAUGCAUCUGUAAGCAUGUUUUCGGAUUUUGCAACAUUGUGUGAAAAGAUAAUGUUAGUGUACUAGAUGAUUCCAUUUUGAAUUUCAACAGAGACAGGUAGCAGGCGAACCUCCCUUGAACACUUUUAAAUGAUUGGCAAAUUUCAUGGUAGCAUAAUUAUUUACUUACAGGUCAUGAAAUUGAAAAUAGCACACACAUACCUUUAUCUCAGUUUACAAUAUUGUAAACUUCCUUUGAAGUCUCAUCUAAGCAGGAAUCAAGCCAAGCGAUGAUACCUCAUUUGUGAAAUUUUUUGUCAUUUUCUCUAAAACUAAACUAUCAGGAAAUAUUUUCUAAAAUUUUCAUGUAAAAGUAUUAUAGUCGGUUUUUUUUUGGGGGGGGGGGAGGGGAAUUAAGUGAAAGCAAAAAUUUGAAUCACAGAAAUUGAGAUUUUGAUUGUUAAACUACCAAUGAUAAUUUCCACUCAUAUUUCCUCAGAAAAUACUUACUACCCGCCUGUUUUGAGGAAAUUUUUAGCGAUUCAAUGUGGAACAGAUGAAUGAAGCCCAAUCAAUUUUUUCAAAUCAAAUAAGAGUAUGUGCAAAAACGAUCAUCAAGCCAGUUUUGCAGAAGUAAAAUGUGACAGGAGAUUUGCAAUGCAACUAACUAAGAUAAAGAUUGGGUACUUUCAACAUCAAUAUGCGUUCCUCUCCUUUCACCUCGGAUCUACUCAUCUCCGUAAAUGAGGAUUCGCCGUAAUGUAUCCCUUCGAUGGCUAUUUUAAGAAAUCUCAUUGUUAGGUACAAGUGAACCUCUUAAAAUUGAAGUCAAAUUUCGGGAAAAUAGGAAAGAGUGUGCUGUCAGCUUGAAAAGCUGAAUGAUAACAAAAAUGAACUACUUAGAAUAAGUACAAAAUAUAUUUAUCACAGAUAAAGAAAACAAAAAUUGAUCUACAGAAAAGAAACAGACAGUACUAAUACAAUAGAAGAGACUUUAGAACAUGUUUAAUUCAAUAUAAAAGUAAAAUGAUAAAAUAAGUUAAUGAUAGAUUGCUGAAAUUUACUGAAAUUUAAAAUUUUUAUUUACAAACUUCAGUUAGAUUGAAGGACUUUUCAUUAGAAGAAAAAAGACGUACUGCUCGUAAGAGUAGAAAUUGCAAGAUGGCUGACACAAUAGUUGAAAACGAAUGAAAAAAUACCUCCAACAUUCAACAUUAUAAAGGUAAAUAAUGUGUGCUCUAAAAUUGCCAGUACAUGGAAAUAGUAAAGAAUCGAGUGAAAGAAUACGUAAUUUAGUUAUACGUACUUUUGAUUAAAUAUUUUUGUUUCUUACAAAAAUACUGGAAAUGUUCAAGAUGAAAUUAAUUUAUAGUUCUUUUUAACUAUCAAAACUAAUCUUUUGGGAAAAAUUUCAAAGAAAAAUCCUCACUCAUUUUCUGUAUGGGGGUAGAUAGAGUGAUCUGAUUCUGCAUGUUGCGCAGAAAAUUUGUCUCUGAUAACUCACGGGGUAUACAAUUUUUCAGCAUUUCAAAAAGUUGACAGGUUCAGAUAGCGCAGGGUCCCACUAUACUGUGUUUAUUAAUUUUCACCAAACAUUACAGUUUUCAGAAUAAGAAUUCAAAACAGCCAAUAGGGAAAAAUAACAAAAGAAUAUCUUUUCAGCCCUCAUGAGAUCCUAGGCCAAGUGUAAAGUGACAUUUCCUCAUCACUGAGAAUGCCAGAGAAGACAUUCUGCCACUUCACUGUAAAAUUUUUCUACACAGGCAUUGUUUCUCUGGCAAAAAUAUAUAUAUAAUAAUUGAUUAUCAGCAGCAAUUUUCUUUCAAGAAUUUGCAACUGGAUGGAGCUGUGAGUGAUGUCAAGCCAUUUUAACUGUUUUUGAGUUCUUCUGAAACAAGAGUCGCCCACAAUAAUAAGAUUUUACAGCCUACCACUGUCUAAGAAAGGGGCCUUUUCAUUUUCUAACAUUAUAUCACACCUAGCAAUUUUAAAAGUAGAAUUUUUCAUCCAUCCAAGAUACAUGCUUUUUUAAACUAAAAUAUUAAACUAAUUCUCCAUGAUAAUUCAUGUUCCAUAUCCAGCCCCUGUGGGCUACAGAAAAUUAAAAAAUGUAUAAAUUAUAAAUAACUUUGAAAAAUGUAUUAAAACUCUUACAGAUGUAAAUAAAAAUCCUGGAUCAGAAACCUUGGUAAAAAAGAAUUAUACUGAUCUCAAGGACUUCUGGGUCAAAAUAAUUGUUUAUUUUUCUCAUUCAAAGCCACAUAAUUCUUCUUUCCUUUUUAAAAGUUUCAUGGAAAAUCUAUUCCACUAUGUAUUACUAUUCACCAACAACACUUCGAGCACAGAAAAAGAUACCCAGUAACAGAAAAGUCCUAAUGCAAAUGCGGUGCAGGCAUCCAUAAAUGGACUUGAAACUAUAGCUUCGUUGUAAACUUAAGUCUUGCGAAAAAACAAGAAAAUUUUCCAAAUGUUAGGGGGCUUCAAGUUUCUUAACUACAGGUGAGAGUUGGAUCAAAAUCAAGAUUCAGCAAUCAUUACCAAGUUUGGUUAUCAAGUGCAUCUACACACUAAGAUCCUUAAUUUUCCCCAUUACUAAUACAUACUAUCAUCGUUUUAAAAGGGAGGGGAAAUGAGCUCUUGUUUACCUGAGGGAUUCUAUGCUCUGUUUUUACUGUCUCCACGAUUGACGAAGUUAUUCAACUUCAAAAUUGUCCUUUGAACAUAAAAUCAUGAUUCCUCUAUUUUUCUAGUCCACUUUUAUUCCAUCUGUAUAGUCCAAAAGACCUCAUCACUUAUCUUUCACAUGAAGAUUAAACAAUGGCUGAGAGAAUAAUGUUAACAGAGAGGAACAUCACUAUCAUAAUGUUCCCAAACUGACAGAAGCCCAAAACCCUUCACGGAAAAAUAUGUUCCUGAUAUAAACGGGUGGGAGUUAGAG